AUUGAACGCUGGCGGCAUGCUUUACACAUGCAAGUCGAGCGGCAGCGCGGGGGCAACCCUGGCGGCGAGCGGCGAACGGGUGAGUAACACAUCGGAACGUGUCCUGUGGUGGGGGAUAACCUGGCGAAAGCCAGGCUAAUACCGCAUGGUCUCGCCAGAGCAAAGCGGGGGACCGCACGGCCUCGCGCCCAAGGAGCGGCCGAUGUCCGAUUAGCUAGUUGGUGGGGUAAGGGCCUACCAAGGCGACGAUCGGUAGCUGGUCUGAGAGGAUGAUCAGCCACACUGGGACUGAGACACGGCCCAGACUCCUACGGGAGGCAGCAGUGGGGAAUUUUGGACAAUGGGGGCAACCCUGAUCCAGCCAUGCCGCGUGAGUGAAGAAGGCCUUCGGGUUGUAAAGCUCUUUCGGUGGGAACGAAAUGGCCGCGGAUAACACCCGCGGUCGAUGACGGUACUCACAGAAGAAGCACCGGCUAACUACGUGCCAGCAGCCGCAGUAA
rnacentral:rRNA from 1 species